ensembl:misc_RNA Metazoa_SRP Metazoan signal recognition particle RNA
GCUGGGCGUGGCAGUGCGUGCCUGUAACCCCAGCUACUUGGGAGGCUGAGGCAGGAGAAUUGCUUGAACCCAGGAGGCGGAGGCUGCGGUGGGCCAAGGUUGCGCCACUGCACUCCCGCCUGGGCGACAGAGCAAGACUCUGUCUCAA